GGCCCAGUGGCGGAUGGUCCGCGUCUGCGUAAAUUAGGGCAUACUCGAGUGUGUUCAUGCAGAUACCGCUCGUUCGACUCGAGCCUGGGCCA